CCCGACGAGCCCCGGGCGAAGGAGGAGGGGGAAGGGGGGGGGGGGGGGCACGGGGCGAGAGAAGCCUGCUGGGAAUCGCGGGGCGAGGGGGGGGGGCUCCGCGCGGCGGGCGGGGGGGGUGGAAGGGUGAGGGGAGGGGAGGGGGGUGAGGUCGGGGUUAGGAGGGGGGGGGGAUUAGUGGCCGGCUGGGCCAGCGUAUACGGGGUGUACCCGUCAGAGGGAGGCCCCGGGUGACUAGGGGGCCAGCAGCGACCGGUAAUAGGUAGGGGGGCAAGCGUUGUCCGGAUUUAGUGGGGUGUAAAGGGCCCGCAGCGGGGAAUGGAAAGUCAGUGGUGAAAUCCUACAGGGUAAGCUGUAGAACUGCCUUUGAUACUUUUAUUCUUGAGUUCGGGAGAGAGAGACGGAAUUCCAGGUGUAGUGGUGAAAUACGUAGAUAUCUGGAAGAACACCAGUUGCGAAGGCGGUCUCUUGGUCCGAUACUGACGCUGAGGCGCGAAAGCGUGGGGAGCAAACAGGAUUAGAUACCCUGGUAGUCCACGCUGUAAACGAUGAAUACUAGGUGUUGGGUUUUAUUACUCAGUGCCGCAGCUAACGCAUUAAGCAUUCCACCUGGGGAGUACGAUCGCAAGAUUAAAACUCGAAGGAAUUGACGGGG
rnacentral:rRNA from 1 species